GUGGCUCAGUGGUAGAGUGCUUGCCUUGCAAGCUUGAGGCCCUGGGUUCGAUUCCUCAGC
rnacentral:tRNA from 1 species